rnacentral:sRNA from 1 species
UCUCAUAACAUUAGGAAAAGAAGAGUUCCAAAAGCUGAGACAAGAUCUUGAAAUGGUACUGUCCACUAUGGAGUCAAAGAAUGAAAAGUUAAAGGAAGACUUAGAAAGGGAACAACGGUGGUUGGAUGAACAGCAACAGAUAAUGGAAUCUCUUAAUGUACUACACAGUGAAUUGAAAAAUAAGGUUGAAACAUUUUCUGAAUCAAGAAUCUUUAAUGAGCUGAAAACUAAAAUGCUCAAUGUAAAAGAAUAUAAGGAGAAACUCUUGAGUACCUUGGGCGAGUUUCUAGAAGACCAUUUUCCUCUGCCUGAUAGAAGUGUUAAAAAGAAAAAGAUGGAGUCUCCCUCUGUUGCCCAGGCUGGAGUGCAGUGGCAUGAUCUCGUCUCGCUGCAACCUCUGCCUCCCAGGUU